GUGGGGAAUUUUGGACAAUGGGCGCAAGCCUGAUCCAGCAAUGCCGCGUGCAGGAAGAAGGCCUUCGGGUUGUAAACUGCUUUUGUACGGAACGAAACGGCUCUGGUUAAUACCCGGGGCUAAUGACGGUACCGUAAGAAUAAGCACCGGCUAACUACGUGCCAGCAGCCGCGGUAAUACGUAGGGUGCAAGCGUUAAUCGGAAUUACUGGGCGUAAAGCGUGCGCAGGCGGUGCUGUAAGACAGGCGUGAAAUCCCCGGGCUCAACCUGGGAAUUGCGCUGGUGACUGCAGUGCUGGAGUGCGGCAGAGGGGGAUGGAAUUCCGCGUGUAGCAGUGAAAUGCGUAGAUAUGCGGAGGAACACCGAUGGCGAAGGCAAUCCCCUGGGCCUGCACUGACGCUCAUGCACGAAAGCGUGGGGAGCAAACAGGAUUAGAUACCCCAGUAGUCC
rnacentral:rRNA from 1 species